rnacentral:rRNA from 1 species
UACGAAGGGGGCUAGCGUUGCUCGGAAUUACUGGGCGUAAAGGGUGCGUAGGCGGGUCUUUAAGUCAGGGGUGAAAUCCUGGAGCUCAACUCCAGAACUGCCUUUGAUACUGAGGAUCUUGAGUUCGGGAGAGGUGAGUGGAACUGCGAGUGUAGAGGUGAAAUUCGUAGAUAUUCGGAAGAACACCAGUGGCGAAGGCGGCUCACUGGCCCGUUACCGACGCUCAGGCGCGACAGCGUGGGGAGCAAACAGG